UAAGCGCAAGCGGUAGGAGAGCGUUCUAUUUGCGUCGAAGGUAUACCGGCAAGGAGUGCUGGAGCGGAUAGAAGUGAGCAUGCAGGCAUGAGUAGCGAUAAUUAAUGUGAGAAUCAUUAACGCCGUAAACCCAAGGUUUCCUACGCGAUGCUCGUCAUCGUAGGGUUAGUCGGGUCCUAAGCUGAGUCCGAAAGGGGUAAGCGAUGGAAAAUAGGUUAAUAUUCCUAUACCAACAUUAGUGUGCGAUGGAAGGACGCUUAGGGCUAGGGGGGCUAGCGGAUGGAAGUGCUAGUCUAAGGUUGUAGGUGCUUACACAGGCAAAUCCGUGUGAGAAUACACCGAGAACUCAAAGGCUUUUCAAAGUCUUCGGAUAGCGAGAAGAACCCCUGAUGCCGUCGAGCCAAGAAAAGUUUCUAAGUUUAGCUAAUGUUGCCCGUACCGUAAACCGACACAGGUGGGUGGGAUGAGUAUUCUAAGGCGCGUGGAAGAACUCUCUUUAAGGAACUCUGCAAAAUAGCACCGUAUCUUCGGUAUAAGGUGUGCCUCCCUUUGUAUUAGAAUUUACUUCGAAAGCAAAGAAGGUUACAACAAAGAGUCCCUCCCGACUGUUUACCAAAAACACAGCACUCUGCUAACUCGCAAGAGGAUGUAUAGGGUGUGACGCCUGCCCGGUGCUCGAAGGUUAAUUGAUGGGGUUAGCAUUAGCGAAGCUCUUGAUCGAAGCCCGAGUAAACGGCGGCCGUAACUAUAACGGUCCUAAGGUAGCGAAAUUCCUUGUCGGUUAAAUACCGACCUGCAUGAAUGGCGUAACGAGAUGGGAGCUGUCUCAAAGAGGGAUCCAGUGAAAUUGUAGUGGAGGUGAAAAUUCCUCCUACCCGCGGCAAGACGGAAAGACCCCGUGGACCUUUACUACAGCUUGACACUGCUACUUGGAUAAGAAUGUGCAGGAUAGGUGGGAGGCUUUGAGUAUAUGACGCCAGUUGUAUAUGAGCCAUUGUUGAGAUACCACUCUUUCUUAUUUGGGUAGCUAACCAGCUUGAGUUAUCCUCAAGUGGGACAAUGUCUGGUGGGUAGUUUGACUGGGGCGGUCGCCUCCCAAAUAAUAACGGAGGCUUACAAAGGUUGGCUCAAAACGGUUGGAAAUCGUUUGUAGAGUAUAAAGGUAUAAGCCAGCUUAACUGCAAGACAUACAAGUCAAGCAGGGACGAAAGUCGGUCUUAGUGAUCCGGUGGUUCUGUGUGGAAGGGCCAUCGCUCAAAGGAUAAAAGGUACCCCGGGGAUAACAGGCUGAUCUCCCCCAAGAGCUCACAUCGACGGGGAGGUUUGGCACCUCGAUGUCGGCUCAUCGCAUCCUGGGGCUGGAGCAGGUCCCAAGGGUAUGGCUGUUCGCCAUUUAAAGCGGUACGCGAGCUGGGUUCAGAACGUCGUGAGACAGUUCGGUCCCUAUCUGCCGUGGGCGUAAGAAGAUUGAAGAGAUUUGACCCUAGUACGAGAGGACCGGGUUGAACAAACCACUGGUGUAGCUGUUGUUCUGCCAAGAGCAUCGCAGCGUAGCUAAGUUUGGAAAGGAUAAACGCUGAAAGCAUCUAAGCGUGAAGCCAACUCUAAGAUGAAUCUUCUCUAAGCUCUCUAGAAGACGACUAGUUUGAUAGGCUGGGUGUGUAAUAGAUGAAAGUCUUUUAGCUGACCAGUACUAAUAGAGCGUUUGGCUUACUUUU
rnacentral:ncRNA from 1 species